rnacentral:rRNA from 1 species
CUGCCUGGGUUAACCAGGAGGAAGGUGGGGAUGACGUCAAAUCAUCAUGCCCCUUAUGUGUAGGGCUACACACGUGCUACAAUGGCUGGUACAGAGAGAUGCAAUACCGCGAGGUGGAGCCAAACUUAAAAACCAGUCUCAGUUCGGAUUGUAGGCUGAAACUCGCCUACAUGAAGCUGGAGUUACUAGUAAUCGCGAAUCAGAAUGUCGCGGUGAAUACGUUCCCGGGUCUUGUAC